UUGCAUGUUGAUAUAAAAAGCGCAUCAGACUCGUAAGACUUGUCACUUUCUCGUCUUCUCUUGCUCGAACGACUUGGAACUUGAGACGGCGACGAGAGAGGGCUUUUCCGUACGGAGAACUCGUUUUCUAGGGUUUUUGUUGGAGAGAUGGGUCCUCUUGUUGUCGGAGAGACCGAACUUCGCGAAGCACUCCUCCAGGCUGGAAAAGAUCUCCUCAACUCUCCUUCCUCCACCGAUGCGAUCUUCGACCUUCUCAAUAAAGUUGAGUCUCUGCUCCUCUCUGUUGAGCAAGAUCCUAUCGUAGAAGUGAGGAACGCCCUGAAACCGUCGAUGCAGGCUUUGGUGUCUGCUGAUCUCUUGAGAAACCCUGAUUCUGAUGUUAGGGUUUACGUUGUCUCCUGCUUAACCGAUAUCAUGAGGAUUACUGCCCCAGAGGCUCCUUACAACGAUGACCAGAUGAAGGAGGUCUUUGAGGUGACGGUAGAGGCCUUUGGAAAACUUGCGGAUGCUUCCUGUGAGAGCUAUAAGAAAGCUGAGGCCGUGCUUGAUACUGUUGCUAAGGUCAGAUCAUCCUUGGUGAUGUUGGACUUGGAGUGCGAUGACCUUGUUCUAGAGAUGUUUCGGCAGUUCUUGAAAAUCAUCAGAUUAAGCCCGGACUGUCCUCAAACGGUACUUCUUUCCAUGGAAACGAUAAUGGUCACAGUUAUAGAUGAAAGUGAAGAAGUAUCCAUGGAUUUGCUCGAGAUUCUCUUGGGUCCUCUCAAAAAAGAUAGCCUGGAUGUCUCACCAGUGGCUUCGAGGCUUGUGGAGAAGGUUCUCAUUAGUUGCGCCUGUAAGCUUCGACCGGACAUCAAUGAAGCUUUGAAGUCCACAGGGACUAGCUUGGACAUGUAUUCUCCAGUAGUUUCGUCAAUAUGCCAAAGGGAAGCUGCUACUACUGAAGCUCAGAUCAUUGUUAACCUCAAAGAAACUGAGGGAGAAGGAAAGAUAUCAGAAGAACAAGUAGUUCCAAGUGAUUCAUUGCAGGAAAAACUGGAUUUGGGACUUUCUCCCAAGGGUACUAGGUCCAAGAGAACUGCAAGAGGUGGAACUCGAGUCAAUGGAGACGGUUUGAAACAACUUUUGAAGCAAGGGCAAUCUGAAAGUACAGACGUAGAGACUGAAUCAGGGUCUACUAGGAGGAGGCGGAAACCCAAUUCUCUGCUGAAUCCUGAAGAAGGCUAUUCAUUCAAGACGUCAUCAAGCAUAAAGAAGGUGCAUGAAAAAGAACUUGGGGCUGCCAAGAAAGCACCUUUGCCAAGUAAAGUUGGUCAAACGAAGCAGUCAGUUGUUAUUUCUCUCUCACCCUCGAGUAAGGCUAGGAAGGGGUCACGGAAACGGAGCAGGAGUAAGAUGGAAGAGACAGAACUUGAUGCAGGUUCUGUAGCCACACCAGCAUCAAAGAAACAGAUUGUGAAGAAAGAUGAUGCUGAAGAAGAAACAGAUCUUAUGGAAACUGACCUUGAAAAGCCUGAAGAUAGCGCUAAGUCAAGUAAAAAGGAGAGAGAAGAGAAGGGUUCAACGAAAUCAACUGCAAAGAAGCCACUAACAGAAUCUAAAAAGGAGAAAGCACAGAAGGGUUCAGCGAAAACAGCUGUAAAGAAGCCACUUGCAGAAUCUAAAAAGGAGAAAUCACAGAAUGGUUUAGCGAAAACAUCUGCAAAGAAGCCACUUGAAAAAUCAGUCCCCUCAGAUGCUAAGAAAAAGAAUUCAGAAGGUGAAAGCAUGGAGUCAUCAAAGAGCAAGAAGAAGAAUUCUCGUGGAAUGACGCCUCCGACCAAAGAAUCUGAACAAACUCUCAAGAGCCAUCCCAAGAGGAAACGGACAGCUAGAGAGGAAGUGGAGUCCAAUAAGAGUGAGCAUGGUGAGGAGUUGGUUGGUAAGAGAGUUAACAUCUGGUGGCCACUUGACAAGAAGUUUUAUGAUGGCGUCAUAAAGUUCUAUAGUAGUCUUAACAAGACGCAUCAGGUGCUUUAUUCGGAUGGGGAGUCUGAAGAGCUUAAUCUUAAAAAAGAACGUUGGGAGAUAAUCAGUGAGGAAAAGGAGGAGACUGAUCUACCUGAUUCUACUCCUUUAUCUGACAUAAUGCGAAGGAAUAAAGCGAAGAAGAGGAAAACUGAGUCUAUGCAUGUGGAGCUGAAAAGUUCUUCAGAAGUCAGAUCCUCGAAGAAGAAAGACCUUGUAACAAGCUCCAAUAAGCAAGGGAAAGCAACCAAAGAUGCGGUGAAGGGUGGAAGCAAUGAACCAGAAAGGAGGGAAGAGAUAAAUAUACAGUUCCCAAAAGAUUGUGAUGAGAAGGAAGAAUCUGAAACUAAGGGUGAUAACGGUUUGAAAAUAGGGGAAAAAUCAAAUGCAGAGCCUGAAUGUAAAAGAGAUCACCAAGAACCGCCUGAGGAAUCUAAUGCAGAAGCCAAGUCGGAUGGGGAAGAGCCUUAAGUUUGCAAACAAGUUAACUGCAGAAACUGGAAAUGAUGGUGAAGAGCAGGAGGUAGAAAAAGAGGCAACCGCAGAACUUCAAACUGAUGGAGAAGAGCGAGAGUCGGUGAAAGUGCCAAAUGAAGCCAAGUCUGAUGGAGAAGAUCUAAAGACUGCAAACAAGUCAACUGCAGAAUCUGAUAUUGAAGGAGAAGAGCAGGAGGUAGAAAAAGAGGCAACUGCAGAACCUCUAACUGAUGGAGGAGAGCGAGAGUCAGUGCUAGAGCAAAAUGAAGAACCGGAAACUGAGGUACAAGUGCGAGAUUCAGCAAAAGAGCCAGCUGCAGACACAAAUUUGAUUAAGGAGGAUCGUUCUGAGGAGAAGGAGACUGGUAAAGUCGAAAAUGAAGCUGAAGAAGAGGUACAGAAAAUAGUUGAGGAACUGGAAGAAGACACUGAUAAAGCAGAAGGCGGGACUAUUCCCGUUUCAGGUUGAUAGAUGAACAAAAGCAUUUUGUUAAUUCAGAGAACGAUGUCGUUAUUGUGGUGUACCUAUUAACUUUCUUGUUUACUGAAGCUGCUUGUUUAGAGACGUAGUGUUAUUGUUAGUAAAGACUUCUGGACAUAUAUGUCUUAUCAAGGAACUAGUUUGAUGCGA